GUUUGGUGGGAUAGCUCAGUUGGUAGAGCAUGAGACUCUUUAAUUUCAAGGUUGUGGGUUUGGGCCUCACACUGGGCA